rnacentral:rRNA from 1 species
AAAGAAACCAACUGGGAUUGCCUCAGUAACGGCGAGUGAAGCGGCAAAAGCUCAAAUUUGAAAUCUGGCCCCGUCAGGAGCCCGAGUUGUAAUUUGGAGAGGACACUUCGGGUGUGGCUGCGGUGUAAGUCCCUUGGAACAGGGCGUCAUAGAGGGUGAGAAUCCCGUCUUGCGCCGCCGGACCACGCCCAUGCGAAGUUCCUUCGACGAGUCGAGUUGUUUGGGAAUGCAGCUCUAAGUGGGUGGUAAAUUUCAUCUAAAGCUAAAUAUUGGCCAGAGACCGAUAGCGAACAAGUAGAGUGAUCGAAAGGUUAAAAGCACCUUGAAAAGGGAGUUAAAUAGCACGUGAAAUUGUUGAAAGGGAAGCGCUUGCAACCAGACUCGGUCGCGGGGGCUCAGCGGGCAUGCGUGCCCGUGUACUCCCCCGCGUUCGGGCCAGCAUCGGUUCCGGCGGUUGGUCAAAGGCCCCUGGAAUGUGUCGUCCUCCGGGACGUCUUAUAGCCAGGGGUGCAAUGCUGCCAGCCGGGACCGAGGAACGCGCUUCGGCACGGAUGCUGGCAU